CCUCCCAAAUAAACUCAGCAGACACCCACAAUCUGCUCUCUUCUUUUUGUGCCGAUUCCGGCGACCGGAGCUGGAAUCCGGUCAGUCUACCGGCUGUCGCACACUCUCCAAACGUUCACACACAUCCCACCCAAACCCUUACCCCCAUGCCCUUCUCGCUCUCUUCAAUACAGCCACUGGAGAAGCUCCGGUCGUCUUCUCGGUUGAUGUUAUUCCUGCAAACACCUACAUCACAACCCAUCCCAUAUCUGUUUCUCCGACAAACACCCACCAUAGUCGAGCGAAACAUCCAUUACCUCACAGAUCGAUGGGAAGGAGUGAGAUGUCGAAGAAGAGAGGAGCCGAACCCUUUUGAUGGGCACUCAUGGCGGCGGUAGCAGGAUUCCGGCAAGGGUUUCAGGUGUCAGCGGGGGCACUUCUGUUCCGACAACCAACAACAAACUCUGAUGAUGAUGCUGGUGAUGAUGAUGAGGACUGGUGACGGUGGUCGCCGACAGCAAACAAAGCCGCCGUGCGGCGGCAGAGGUGGGGUUCCGUCAGGAUCGGGUUUAGGUUGUUCACGGCAGAGGUGGGGUUUCGUCAGGAUCGGGUUUAGGUUGUUCAGGUUUGGUGACUCAAUUCAGUUUUGAUUCGGGUUCGCGACACGGUCCGUUGGUCAACAAUCGUUAUGGGUCAGACAUCAAGUUCGAUUUCCGGUCAACAAGUCAAGUGUGGUCAAACUCAGUCAACCAGUCAAACCUAGUCAACUGUCGGGUCAACAACAGUCAACGAAAGACCCGGUAAAGUUUUUAGCGUAGCGAGUUAGUUUACAUUAGAUUUUAGAUUACGUGAACCGAGCUCGAACCCUCGUAACCUAGUUUAUACAUUAGUGAUUAUUUACGUUUUUGCACUUGGCGAAAAUUAUAUAUACAUUGUUUGAUUGAA